UCAUCCCAGUUGUCCAUCAACAGAUGAAUUUGUGAAAAGAAUGUGAUGUGUAUGUACAACACAGGAUCUCAUUCAGCUAUAAAGAGGAACAAAAGUGGAUGAAAUGACAGCAGACCUCUCACAGAGUGCCGAUGACUGAAGGGACUUGAGUUAAGACUGUGGUCUGUUUGCCACGCCCCUGCAACUGGGACCAGGAACCCUGGAAGUUCUUUGGAAGUUGUACAUCUGAAGGAGUCAUUUCACUUCUGGGUGCCACCAUUGCAGGCUGACAGGCACAGCAGAUAAUAAUAAUGAGGUGGUACACUCAGAACUGAGCCACACUGUGAUACAGACGUCCUUAAUGAAGUGAAGGUGUUUAGCCAGGACUGCUGUAGACAUUCGAAAAAUAAGCAUUAUCUUAAAAUACUUGACAGUGGUCACUGGAGAAUAAAAUUAAACUUUCA